rnacentral:lncRNA from 1 species
UUUGUUAACAGUUCGCAUUUAUUGAGUGCUUGCCGUGGCCAGGCACUGUGCUAAGAACUUGACCCGCACCAUCUCCUUGAAUCUUUAUUCUCACAACAGCCCUUUGAGUAGCUACUAUUUAUUGGACCCAUUUUUGCAGAUGGAGAACCAAGGUAUAGACAGGUUCAAAAUUACACAGAUAAUGAAUAAAAGAACAGGCCUUUGGAACUCAGUUCUCGCUUUGGAGAAAACAAAAGCUUGUGGGAAGGAAAGAAGAAGAGGGAAGUUGAGUCUACCACUAAGAGCAGAUGAUCCCUUAAGGAUGCUUAUUUCCUCCAGCUAAUCUGCCCAAAGCCAGUAAAAUACAGGGACGAUGGUCGAGUAGAGCCCCAGAUAGAAGACAAAGGAGGUAAAAGGCCACAAUCUUUCCCUGCUGACUCGGGAAUAGUCAUCUUUCUCCCCAGGACUCAAUCUCUUUGCAUCCUGAAUGUUG